CGGCCUUGACAUACUAAGAACUUUCCAGAGAUGGAUUGGUGCCUUCGGGAACUUAGAUACAGGUGCUGCAUGGCUGUCGUCAGCUCGUGUCGUGAGAUGUUGGGUUAAGUCCCGNAACGAGCGCAACCUUUUCCUAUUUGCCAGCGGGUCAUGCCGGGAACUUUAAGGAUACUGCCAGUGACAAACUGGAGGAAGGCGGGGACGACGUCAAGUCAUCAUGGCCCUUACGGCCAGGGCUACACACGUGCUACAAUGGUCGGUACAAAGGGUUGCUACCUCGCGAGAGGAUGCUAAUCUCAAAAGCCGAUCGUAGUCCGGAUCGCAGUCUGCAACUCGACUGCGUGAAGUCGGAAUCGCUAGUAAUCGCGGAUCAGAAUGCCGCGGUGAAUACGUUCCCGGGCCUUGUACACACCGCCCGUCACACCAUGGGAGUUUGUUGCACCAGAAGUAGGUAGUCUAACCGCAAGGAGGACGCUUACCACGGUGUGGCCGAUGACUGGGGUGAAGUCGUAACAAGGUAAGCGUAGAUGA
rnacentral:rRNA from 1 species